AAACUAACAAGGAUUCCCCUAGUAACGGCGAGUGAAGCGGGAAGAGCUCAAAUUUGUAAUCUGGCACUUUCAGUGUCCGAGUUGUAAUCUCGAGAAGUAUUUUCCGCGCCGGACCGCAUACAAGUCUGUUGGAAUACAGCGUCAUAGUGGUGAGAACCCCGUAACUGAUGCGGAUGCCCGGUGCUUUGUGAUAUACUUUCGAAGAGUCGAGUUGUUUGGGAAUGCAGCUCAAAUUGGGUGGUAAAUUCCAUCUAAAGCUAAAUAUUGGAGCAAGACCGAUAGCGAACAAGUACCGUGAGGGAAAGAUGAAAAGCACUUUGGAAAGAGAGUUAACAGUACGUGAAAUUGUUGGAAGGGAAACGCUUGAAGUCAGACUUGCUAUUCGGAGUUCAGCCGCAAGGUGUAUUCUUCGAUUUGCAGGCCAGCAUCAGUUUUUGGGGGUGGAAAAUCGUGGUUUGAAUGUAGCAGUUUCGGCUGUGUUAUAGCUUUCCACUGGAUUCAUCUUCGGGGACUGAGGAACGCAGUACGCUUUUUGCAAGGCUCUCGAGCUUUUCGUACUUAGGAUGCUGGUGGAAUGGCUUUAAACGAC
rnacentral:rRNA from 1 species